UACGUAGGGGGCAAGCGUUGUCCGGAUUUAUUGGGCGUAAAGAGCGUGUAGGCGGCCAGGGAGGUCCGUUGUGAAAACUCGAGGCUCAACCUCGAGACGCCGAUGGAAACCAUCUGACUAGAGUCCGGAAGAGGAGAGUGGAAUUCCUGGUGUAGCGGUGGAAUGCGCAGAUAUCAGGAGGAACACCCGUGGCGAAGGCGGCUCUCUGGGACGGUACUGACACUGAGACGCGAAAGCGUGGGGAGCGAACAGG
rnacentral:rRNA from 1 species